GCCGCCCCGGCCGCCGCCACCAUGGCCUCUGGCAGCAGCGGCCUUGCCGCCGCCCGCCUCCUCUCGCGCUCCUUCCUCUGUGAGUCCGGUUGGGGCGCUCUUUCCGAGCCUCCGCGGCUUCCCGGCCUCGUUGGACCCCGCGCCCCGGUCUAGGCCGGGGCUGGGCCCUCCGGGGCGGGACCUCGGCGGGGGCCCAAAUCCGCGACCCUUUGCAAUGGAGGGAGCUUUGCUGGAUGUUUCGGGUGGGGACAUAGAGUUAUUGAGCCAGGAUUCGGGUCUGGGAGCCCUGCAGACCGGGGAGCACGCCCAUGAUCCCGCGGUGCUGAGUGGUGGGAUGAGGGCUGCAUCUAGAAUUGUUCUUUUGGAGAGAUUUUAGGGUGGGUUCUGCACCGGGAGUCCGCACAGCACAUAAAACUAGAAGCUUAGGCUGGGACCUUAACCAAGUUAUAUCUCCACCACGCGGUGUGAAUCCUUCAGUUCCUGAAAACUUAAUACCCACGCUUGCUGGUAAUGCUGACUAUUGAAAAUUCUUGUUCAAAGUCUCAGUGGUUGUUAGGUAGGUUGUGUAGGAAAAGACUUUGGAAUCAGCCACAUCAAGUUUGAAGUCUGGCUAGUCCUAUACGGUCUAUGUAGUAACUCAGAGGCAUGUUUCUAAAUCUGUUUCUCCAUUUCUCUUUCAAAUCCCAGGAAAAUAACACCAUAUUUUAGUGACCCAGAGAUACCAUCGCUUGUAAGAUGCACUGUUGAUUUGUCCGCCACUAAUGGUGGAAAAUGGUUGCUGAUUAAAAUUGUGACACACCAUUGGUUGUCCGUUGCAUCCUGAUUUAAAGAAUGUUAAAAAGUGAAAGAAAAUGUGCAUCCUAGAAAUGAAGUACAGGAUGAUCUGGGUUCACUAUGCAGAAAAAAUGAAACACUUUAUAUAAAGCACUUGGGGUGUAACAGGCACUUAACCAAAGUUUUCUUCUCUUUCUCUUUCUUCUACUUUGCUUGUCAUCUUAUUGCUAGUGCUGAAUAUUGGAUGAGACUUAAUUUACUGAGAAUACUGCAUUCUAAAAGUGUACGGCUAUGACUGUACACUCUAUAGCUAUGCUUAGCUACCAGAUCACUUGAGGCUAAACUUCGGUAAGUAGGAAGAAAGUUUUCUGGAGAUUUUUAUUAUGUAGCUUAAAAAAAUAAUUGAGGGUGUUGUAGGCAGAAAGAGAAAAGGGAUUGGUUAUACCCACGUCUUUAUCUUCUGGCAUCUUGCUUGUUUGAGUUUCUGAAUCUUUGCCUCAGAGGUCUGCUGUCUUAGGAGAGUCUAGAGAAGAAAGAAAGAUGUCUAAAAGGUCAGGAUCUUGAAUCCACCCUUAGCAAUACUUAACAAUACUUUUCUUGCAGAACUGGAACAACUUUAUUCCUAGACUUUCAGAAUCUUGAGGCCUUAAGAGAUCAUCUAGUUAUCUUCUUGUUGCUAGAGUGGCCUUCAUUUAUCCUACUCAUGUGAUUAGCUGUUAUUAAUAGAGAGAUCUGAGCUAUAAACCAAAGUAUCUCCUAUAUCAGAGAGGUUGCAAACUGCAGGGUUCAUGUUUAAAAACCUCUGACCCACAGCUUUUUCUCCCAUGCCAUAUUUCCAAGCCCACUUCCAAUCCUGCUAGAAAAACAGCAGCCACAACAAUA
rnacentral:lncRNA from 1 species